rnacentral:rRNA from 1 species
AUACGUAGGGGGCGAGCGUUGUCCGGAAUGAUUGGGCGUAAAGGGCGCGUAGGCGGCCCGGUAAGUCUGGAGUGAAAGUCCUGUUUUUAAGAUGGGAAUUGCUUUGGAUACUGUCGGGCUUGAGUGCAGGAGAGGUAAGUGGAAUUCCCAGUGUAGCGGUGAAAUGCGUAGAGAUUGGGAGGAACACCAGUGGCGAAGGCGACUUACUGGACUGUAACUGACGCUGAGGCGCGAAGGUGUGGGGAGCAAACAGGAUUAGAUACCCUGGUAGUCCACACUGUAAACGAUGAAUGCUAGGUGUAGGGGGUAUCGACCCCUUCUGUGCCGCAGUCAACACAAUAAGCAUUCAGCCUGGGGAGUACGGCCGCAAGGUUGAAACUCAAAUGAAUUGGCGGGG